rnacentral:rRNA from 1 species
CAGCCGUAAACUAUGCGCGUUAGGUGUACUGGUGACCACGAGCCACCGGGGUGCCGAAGGGAAACCGUGAAACGUGCCGCCUGGGAAGUACGGUCGCAAGGCUGAAACUUAAAGGAAUUGGCGGGGGAGCACCACAACAGGUGGAGCCUGCGGUUUAAUUGGACUCAACGCCGGGAAGCUCACCGGAUAGGACAGCAGAAUGAUUGCCGGGCUGAAGACCCUGCAUGACUAGCUGAGAGGAGGUGCAUGGCGUCAGUGACU